UCCAAAUCCCGCACGACUUUGGGACGCGGGAGGAAACCGGAGCACCCGGAGUAAACCCACGCGGUCACGGGGAGAACGUGCAAACUCCGCACAGACAGCACCCGUGGUAAGGAUGGAACUCGGGUCUCUGGCGCUGUGAGGCAGCAAUUCUACCGCUGCUCCACCCCAUACAUCUAUACAUUGAUGAUCAUCCCAAUAAUACCACAACAAUUCUUCAUUAUACUCCGUCUCGUAGACGCAGUCUUCCAUUUUGUGUGCCUUCUCUCCUUGUUUGUUAAUAAAGGUUCUGUUACCCUGGGAUUGUUGUCAUGUGGUUACCAGCCUACGUUCUGUAAAGCAACCAACUUAAAAUACAAAAAUCCAUAUUUAAAUCUUUUACUGUGUGCACUUGUUACUCAUUAACACUAAUAAAGCUUUUUAUUCUUUCUU